UUGACCUCAAAUCAGUAGACGCCCAAUCCC
rnacentral:rRNA from 1 species